GGAAUCUUCCACAAUGGGCGCAAGCCUGAUGGAGCAACACCGCGUGAGUGAAGAAGGGUUUCGGCUCGUAAAGCUCUGUUGUUAAAGAAGAACACGUAUGAGAUUAACUGUUCAUACGUUGACGGUAUUUAACCAGAAAGUCACGGCUAACUACGUGCCAGCAGCCGCGGUAAUACGUAGGUGGCAAGCGUUAUCCGGAUUUAUUGGGCGUAAAGAGAGUGCAGGCGGUUUUCUAAGUCUGAUGUGAAAGCCUUCGGCUUAACCGGAGAAGUGCAUCGGAAACUGGAUAACUUGAGUGCAGAAGAGGGUAGUGGAACUCCAUGUGUAGCGGUGGAAUGCGUAGAUAUAUGGAAGAACACCAGUGGCGAAGGCGGCUACCUGGUCUGCAACUGACGCUGAGACUCGAAGGCAUGGGUAGCGAACAGGAUUAGAUACCCUGGUAGUCCAUGCCGUAAACGAUGAGUGCUAGGUGUUGGAGGGUUUCCGCCCUUCAGUGCCGGAGCUAACGCAUUAAGCACUCCGCCUGGGGAGUACGACCGCAAGGUUG
rnacentral:rRNA from 1 species